UAUGUAGGGGGCGAGCGUUGUCCGAAGUUACUGGGCGUAAAGAGCGUGUAGGCGGCUAUUUAAGUCCUGCGUGAAAUCCUGCGGCUCAACCGCAGACGGUCGUGGGAAACUGGAUGGCUAGAGUGCGGGAGAGGAGAGUGGAAUUCCCGGUGUAGCGGUGAAAUGCGCAGAUAUCGGGAAGAACACCCGUGGCGAAGGCGGCUCUCUGGAACGCAACUGACGCUGAGACGCGAAAGCGUGGGGAGCAAACAGG
rnacentral:rRNA from 1 species